rnacentral:tRNA from 1 species
GGGCCUGUAGCUCAGUAAGGUAGAGCGGUGGGCUCUUAACCCACUGGUCAAGGGUUCAAAUCCCUUCAGGCCCGCCA